UGGGGAAUUUUGCACAAUGGAGGAAACUCUGAUGCAGCGACGCCGCGUGAGUGAUGAAGAUCUUCGGAUUGUAAAACUCUGUCCUUAGUGAAGAUAAUGACAGUAACUAAGAAGCAAGCCCUGGCUAAAUACGUGCCAGCAGCCGCGGUAAUACGUAUGGGGCAAGCGUUGUCCGGAAUUAUUGGGCGUAAAGGGUACGUAGGCGGUUUAAUAAGUCCUAAUUAAAAGGCUAUGGCUCAACCAUAGUAUGGUUAGGAAACUGUUGAACUUGAGUAGAUGAGGGGAAAGUGGAAUUCCAUGUGGAGCGGUGAAAUGGGUAGAUAUAUGGGGGAACACCAAUGGCGAAGGCAACUUUCUGGAAUCAAAAUGACGAUGAGGCAAGAAGGCGUGGGGAGGAAACAGG
rnacentral:rRNA from 1 species